CUUAUAACAGCAGAAGGUGAAACCUCAACUAGUUAUUACGGCCAAGAGCCGAGUGCCCUCUAGGAUGCCACCCGCGGCGCGCUCCCCGGGACCAGCCUAGCGCUUACGGGACUCUUCUGCGUUCUCUACUAGGUCUGUGAAGAGGAAACUUUUUCAUGUUGUUUAUUCUAAUUGGAGGAUAACAGCUUUACUGUGCUGUGUUCGUUUCUGCCAUCCAUCACCACGAAUCCGCGGUGAACGUGUACACACCCCCACCUCCCUGGGCCUCCGUCCCACCCUACACCUCUAGGUCAUCACAGAGCAUGCGGCUGAGCUACCUGCUACAAGGCUGUGAAGAAAUUUCAAGUUACAACGUGAACAAGGUUGAACAGUUACUCAGAGCAUUAGCCUAAAAGCGGGGCUUCCUGGGCGGCUCAGCUGUAAACAACCCCACACACUAGCAGCAGCCUAAAGAAAUGGGCCCAGACUAGACCCCAGGGUGUGCAACAGUGUUAAAGCUGUUGUUGUUCAGCUGCUCAGUUGUGUCUAUUUUUUGACCCCACGGACUGAAGCCCACCAAGCUGCUCUGCCCAUGGGAUUCUCCAAGCAAGAAGACUGGAGCGAGUUGCCAUGCCCUUCUCCCAGGGAUCUUCCGGACCCAGGGAUCAAACCCGUGUCUCCUGCAUUGCAGGCGGAUUCUUUAUCACAGAGCCAUCUGGGAAGCCCAGGGUUAAAUUUGGGAUAUAAAAAAUGCUGUGUAAGGUAGAAUGGCAAGUAUCCUCUAGAGGAAUGUUAAGAUUUAGUGAGUAGACGCAGUUUAAGCUGGGCCUAAAUUUUGGUAUGUAGAUAACUGGUAAAGGAGAAGGACAUUCCUGGAAUGUGUGAGGCUAUUAAAAAGAAUGGAGGUGCACACGGGGUGGAGACCAGAAGGCUGAUACUAAAUUUUAAAAUUUAUAUUGUAAAAGUAGUACAUUGAUUUUCACUAUAAAAAUUGAAGAUAUAUUAAAGGCAUGCUCUUUUUCUCC